rnacentral:lncRNA from 1 species
CAUUAAAAAAAGGGAGAAAGGAGGAUGCUACAGGAAAGCUAGCCGUGUGGGACGCUUGCACGCCCACGUGAAAUUGCCCGCGCGCCGUGCGCCCACAUGCAUGAGUGUUAGGCCAGCAGGACGUGUGCGCAGGUGCUCGUCCCAUCGGCCAGGGCAUCCAUAUAGCGCUUAGUCUGUACAUGAAUCCAACGUGCAGAUGCACAUGUCAGGGGUGCGGCUCGGCACACACUGAGUGCGUGGAUCCUACGUGCAGACACAUCGCGUCAGGAGUAUACUUAUGCGACGUGACAAUGCAGGAUGACCUGUGCAAGCAUCAGUGUGUCGUCCAGGUGCGCAAAGUAGCCUGCUGCCUCUUGAGAGUUGUGCCUCCUCCUUGGCCAGCUGACUUGGAUGAUGUAAUGAUGAUGUCAUUAU